CACGAACCGUACGAACGUUGUUCGGAAUCACUGGGCGUAAAGGGUGCGUAGGCGGUUUGGUAAGUCAGAUGUGAAAUCCCGGGGCUCAACCCCGGAACUGCAUCCGAUACUGCCAGACUAGAGGACUGGAGAGGUGACUGGAAUUCUCGGUGUAGCAGUGAAAUGCGUAGAGAUCGAGAGGAACACUCGUGGCGAAGGCGAGUCACUGGACAGUAUCUGACGCUGAGGCACGAAGGCCAGGGUAGCGAAAGGG
rnacentral:rRNA from 1 species